CGAUGGCCUUCGGUGGUGCUUAAAGUCAUGGAAAGAUAGGGAAGAGAGAGAGAGGAGGAAGGAUCGAGCCCUUACCUUGGCUCCGAUGAUGUUUUUAGCUUCAAUUUUCAAUGGCCAUGGUGAAGGAAAUCCAGCGAAAAUUGGAAGAAAAAAAGAGAAAGAAAAGAGGAAGAAGGUUGGGCUCAUCAUGGUCGGCUUUGGACG
rnacentral:lncRNA from 1 species